GCUCUCCAGUUCAGAAUACAAAAGAAGUCCCUCAUUGUGGAUGUUAUGAGAGAUCUUAGCAAGAGGGUAAAGUUACUCCUUGCCAAGGAAUCUGCCCCAUGAAGGAGCUAAGGGCAACAACUUGCGGAGGAGUUGAGUUACUUGUCGAUAUCAUCUCACAUAGAUUUAAACCUCUUCUGCCUGCUUCUUCUGGCAUUUUGGGGAGGCCAUAUUCAGUUUUACCUUCACAAAAUUUGGAAAUUGUAGUGAUUAUUUAUGGUAUCUAUUUUUUUAAUGACAGGCAGAGAUUAGAUCAUGAAUAAGAUCUUCGAUUUAGCUAUUUUCCUUCAUAACAUAUGCAUUUUGAAGUGAUAUGUAGUAUCACUUUGCUAAAGAUAAACUGCUUGGUUUCCCAUGAACAUAUUUGCAGCUAAGGAUUCUCUGUUGUGUAUGCACAAGCUGCUGCUCUAAACCUGCUCCUUAUCCCCCAACAACCAGAAAAUAAAAAAUGAAAAGUUGGAUAAUACCAGUGGAAAAAGAAAACCCAUUCAGCAGAAAUGAAACUCCCCUCCAAAUUUGGAAUUACGUACCCCUGAUUUCCAGAAUUUGGAGAGUUGAAUAUGAAAAGAGAAGUUAGCCAAUAUAAAAGAAAACACCAUUCAGCAGAAAUGAACAACUCCCCCUCCAAGUGCCGUCUUCUUGUCCGCCUGUUGCAGUUGCAAAGAUGGGUGAUCCUUCAUUUUCCCCGUUUCUUGCUUUAUCUUUCUUACUUGGCUAUGGACUAAAACCCCAUCUUCUUUCUUGUUGUUUCCCUUUUUUUGCUCCAUUUCUUGUUGCCUUAACUUCAUAUUUGGAAACCAACACCUACUUUUCCUCUCUUCUUGGUAAGUUGUAAAAGUAUGGACUUGUAUUUAUAUUUGGAAAAAGAAUGAUGAGAGUGACGACGUGGUUGAUGGCUUGUCCAUGAGCUUGGUUUUUUUACAAAUU
rnacentral:lncRNA from 1 species